UGAACGCUGGCGGCAGGCCUAACACAUGCAAAUCGAGCGGAUGAAGGGAGCUUGCUCCUGGAUUCAGCGGCGGACGGGUGAGUAAUGCCUAGGAAUCUGCCUGGUAGUGGGGGAUAACGUCCGGAAACGGGCGCUAAUACCGCAUACGUCCUGAGGGAGAAAGUGGGGGAUCUUCGGACCUCACGCUAUCAGAUGAGCCUAGGUCGGAUUAGCUAGUUGGUGGGGUAAAGGCCUACCAAGGCGACGAUCCGUAACUGGUCUGAGAGGAUGAUCAGUCACACUGGAACUGAGACACGGUCCAGACUCCUACGGGAGGCAGCAGUGGGGAAUAUUGGACAAUGGGCGAAAGCCUGAUCCAGCCAUGCCGCGUGUGUGAAGAAGGUCUUCGGAUUGUAAAGCACUUUAAGUUGGGAGGAAGGGCAGUAAGUUAAUACCUUGCUGUUUUGACGUUACCAACAGAAUAAGCACCGGCUAACUUCGUG
rnacentral:rRNA from 1 species